AUACGGGGGGUGCAAGCGUUAAUCGGAAUUACUGGGCGUAAAGCGCGCGUAGGCGGUUUGUUCAGUCGGAUGUGAAAGCCCAGGGCUCAACCUUGGAACUGCAUUCGAUACUGGCAAACUAGAAUGUGAUAGAGUAUAGUGGAAUUUCCGGUGUAGCGGUGAAAUGCGUAGAGAUCGGAAGGAACAUCAGUGGCGAAGGCGGCUAUCUGGAUCAACAUUGACGCUGAGGUGCGAAAGCGUGGGUAGCAAACAGGAUUAGAAACCCUAGUAGUCC
rnacentral:rRNA from 1 species